GCUUUCCUGUGGCUCAGUUGGUAGAGCAUUGCGCUAAGGUAUUACCCAAAGGUUGUGGGUUCAAAUCCCAGGGAAAGCA